CUAAUCCUUAGAGGACAUGAUGAGAUUGC
rnacentral:piRNA from 1 species